GCUGCUUGUUAAUUUUUGCUGGCCGGACUAAUGUUCGGUUUUGUUGCAGAUUCUUGAAAGCCUGCAGUUAUAUGCUUUCAGCUUGUAUCCAGUUCCUGCUAUGUUCAAUGUAAAGCUGCUGGAUGUUACGGAACCGCUCGUUUGCUAGUUGGGUCUAUUACUACUUAUUUUUCGCGAGAAAACAACUGCUGUAGAUUUUGUUUUAUAAUUUUCUAGGAGUAUUUUCGGUCUCAAAUGUUGGCCAUAUUAUCCUGUGACACAUCUAUGAAGUUGUGGCCGUGUCUCCUACAUUUUAGGAUGCUUGUGGUUUGAGGAUUCAGUCUGUAUUUUCAAAGAUUUAUCUGUUCGAUUUGGUUUUUUUCGAUAUUUUGCGAUUGCUUCAA